CUACGGGAGGCAGCAGUGGGGAAUAUUGCGCAAUGGGCGAAAGCCUGACGCAGCGACGCCGCGUGUGGGAUGAAGGCCUUCGGGUUGUAAACCACUGUCGCGAGGGACGAAUGCCCCGCAAGGGGAGUGACGGUACCUCGAAAGGAAGCACCGGCUAACUCUGUGCCAGCAGCCGCGGUAAUACAGAGGGUGCGAGCGUUGUCCGGAAUCACUGGGCGUAAAGGGCGCGUAGGCGGCCUGAUAAGUAGGGGGUGAAAUCUUGCGGCUCAACCGCAAGGCUGCCUUCUAAACUGUCAGGCUGGAGCACGGUAGAGGCAGAUGGAAUUCCCGGUGUAGCGGUGGAAUGCGUAGAGAUCGGGAAGAACACCAGUGGCGAAGGCGGUCUGCUGGGCCGUUGCUGACGCUGAGGCGCGACAGCGUGGGGAGCAAACAGGAUUAGAUACCCCGGU
rnacentral:rRNA from 1 species